rnacentral:rRNA from 1 species
CGCCAUUUAAAGUGGUACGCGAGCUGGGUUCAGAACGUCGUGAGACAGUUCGGUCCCUAUCUGCCGUGGGCGUUGGAUGAUUGAAGGGAGUUGCUCCUAGUACGAGAGGACCGGAGUGAACGAACCUCUGGUGUUCGGGUUGUCACGCCAGUGGCACUGCCCGGUAGCUAAGUUCGGAAUCGAUAACCGCUGAAAGCAUCUAAGCGGGAAGCGAGCCCUGAGAUGAGUCAUCCCUGACCCCUUGAGGGUCCUAAAGGGCCGUUGGAGACCACAACGUUGAUAGGUGGGGUGUGUAAGCGCGGCGACGUGUUGAGCUAACCCAUACUAAUUACCCGUGAGGCUUAACCAU